GUUGGGAAUAUUGGACAAUGGGGGAAACCCUGAUCCAGCAAUUCCGCGUGAAUGAUGAAGGCCUCAGGGUCGUAAAGUUCUUUUAGUGGGGACAAACACAAUGAUGGUACCCACAGAAAAAGCACCGGCUAACUCCGUGCCAGCAGCCGCGGUAAUACGGAGGGUGCAAGCGUUGCUCGGAAUCAUUGGGCGUAAAGCGCGUGUAGGCGGCCAACUAAGUCUGAUGUGAAAUCCCAGGGCUCAACCCUGGAACUGCAUCGGAUACUGGAUGGCUAGAGGAUGAGAGAGGAUGGUGGAAUUCCUGGUGUAGGGGUGAAAUCCGUAGAUAUCAGGAGGAACAUCAGUGGCGAAGGCGGCCAUCUGGCUCAUUUCUGACGCUGAGACGCAAAAGCGUGGGGAGCAAACAGGAUUAGAUACCCCGGUAGUCC
rnacentral:rRNA from 1 species